rnacentral:rRNA from 1 species
GACGAACGCUGGCGGCGUGCUUAACACAUGCAAGUCGAACGGAAAGGCCCUGCUUUUGUGGGGUGCUCGAGUGGCGAACGGGUGAGUAACACGUGAGUAACCUGCCCUUGACUUUGGGAUAACUUCAGGAAACUGGGGCUAAUACCGGAUAGGAGCUCCUGCUGCAUGGUGGGGGUUGGAAAGUUUCGGCGGUUGGGGAUGGACUCGCGGCUUAUCAGCUUGUUGGUGGGGUAGUGGCGUACCAAGGCUUUGACGGGUAGCCGGCCUGAUAGGGUGACCGGCCACAAUGGGACUGGGGUAGGGCCCAGACUCCUACGGGAGGCAGGAGUGGGGAAUAUUGCACAAUGGGCGGAAGCCUGAUGCAGCAACGCCGCGUGCGGGAUGACGGCCUUCGGGUUGUAAACCGCUUUCGCCUGUGACGAAGCGUGAGUGACGGUAAUGGGUAAAGAAGCACCGGCUAACUACGUG